rnacentral:rRNA from 1 species
AUCGCAAGCCCUCACGUUAUUCGAACGGCCGAACGUCUGAUUAGCUAGUUGGUGGGGUAAUGGCUCACCAAGGCGACGAUCAGUAGCGGGUUCUGAGAGAAUGAUCCGCCCACACUGGAACUGAGACACGGUCCAGACUCCUACGGGAGGCAGCAGUGGGGAAUUUUGGACAAUGGGGGGCAACCCUGAUCCAGCCAUUCCGCGUGAGUGAAGAAGGCCUUCGGGUUGUAAAGCUCUUUCAGCUGGAAAGAAACGGUGAGCUCUAACAUAGCUUGCUAAUGACGGUACCAGCAGAAGAAGCACCGGCUAACUACGUGCCAGCAGCCGCGGUAAUACGUAGGGUGCGAGCGUUAAUCGGAAUUACUGGGCGUAAAGCGUGCGCAGGCGGAUUGUUAAGCAAGAUGUGAAAUCCCCGGGCUUAACCUGGGAAUGGCAUUUUGAACUGGCAGUCUAGAGUGUGUCAGAGGGGGGUGGAAUUCCACGUGUAGCAGUGAAAUGCGUAGAUAUGUGGAGGAACACCAAUGGCGAAGGCAGCCCCCUGGGAUAACACUGACGCUCAUGUACGAAAGCGUGGGUAGCAAACAGGAUUAGAUACCCUGGUAGUCCACGUCCUAAACGAUGUCAACUGGUUGUUGGGGGAGUGAAAUCCCUUAGUAACGAAGCUAACGCGUGAAGUUGACCGCCUGGGGAGUACGGUCGCAAGAUUAAAACUCAAAGGAAUUGACGGGGACCCGCACAAGCGGUGGAUGAUGUGGAUUAAUUCGAUGCAACGCGAAAAACCUUACCUACCCUUGACAUGUCCAGAAUCCUGCAGAGAUGCGGGAGUGCCCGAAAGGGAAUUGGAACACAGGUGCUGCAUGGCUGUCGUCAGCUCGUGUUGUGAAAGU